AGGUAAGGUUAAUUUGACAUCCAGUACAGUAGGUGGCUCCUAAGGAGUUAGUCACCAGUAAACCAACAAGAAGAAGGAUUAAUUGUGCACACCUGUUUUUGGUCAUUCCUGUUCUGGUUACAUCAUUAUACCAGUGGAUGGCAACAAGCGACAUGCUGUUUUUGUGCCACAGUUUUAGGGUUUUUGGCUUUGGCUAUGACCCUGCUAUUCACAACUGAGUUUGCCUGGCAUUCAUUAAAGAAGAUGGCUUAUAAUGAAGAUGACAGGUGAGGAGGGGAUCAUCACUGGGUCACAAAAGAUAGAAGCAGAUGAUGACAGAGAGAGAGAUUCGUAGCAGAAAUUAUUCACAUGGCAUUAACGGCGUAGGUGGUUGUCUCAAAACAACCUGCCAGCAAAACUGAACACCCAUGAGCAAAGAUGGUGGAUUUCAAUUGGGUGAUACUGCGCCAGCCAAGCAACUGCCACUGAGAUGAAAUGUGAAUGCUAACUGAUAGCUUUCAUCAGGAUUUGAGCUAAACUUAAUGAUCCAAGGCAAACAUCUAAUCCACUGUGCUGCGGAGUGGUACAUGUGACAAAUGCACCCGGUGGAGAAGACGAGCAGUGCCACAACUCAUGCCACACGUCUGAUCCCUGCCCAUGUCUCUCCAACACUAAUGGCAUUACACUGCCUCCUCCUUUAGUGGCGUUCAUCCUUUGCCAUUUAUCUUUGCAUGAUGCACGAUGUACGUUAGUUGGCCUAUUAAUACUAAAUGCCAGCUUGUCACGCACAUCAGGGAGAAAAGUUGACUCUCAAACUUUAAAUAAGAAGUAUUUUUCUUCUUUUCUUUAUAUAUAUAGGAAGGAAGAGGAAGACAUUUUUGAACUACUGGGAAAAAAAUAAUACUCGGAGUACCCAGAACGUUAUCAGAUAUCAGGAGGCUGGUACUACUGCUUCUCAAAAGUAUCCAGGUUGUUUUUAUCCAAUCGCCUGAGCCAUAAAUUUGACAAAAUAUGACAUUAUAGCAAUGCGAAUUGGCUCAUGGCACCCCAAGAAUGUUUCAAGACCUUUUUAAAAGUUAAAAAAAAAAUGAUUCUUUGCUAAAUAUUUGCUCUAUACUUAUUGCAUCAUAUUACAAUUUGUGUGUGUGUAUAUAAUUAUAUAAAAAAAGUCUCUAAAGAAAAAUGUCAUGUAUUGCUGAUUGUCAGACACAUUUGAUGAAUGAAAACAGAGCUCUGUUGCACUUGUAGUUUCAAGUGUUUUAUUAUUUUUCUUUCGCUUCCUUUCCCUUUCUGUCUGGUUAACCCUACAAUAUGUGUUCAGAUGUGAUUUAAUAAGUGGAGAGGUCCCACGGGCGGCCUCGCAUUGAGUUUUCCUGUGGGUCCUUUCUGUGUGUAUGACUCUGCAGUGGCAGGGGGGCUCCCUGGCCCAGAUUAAUUACCCCCCUCUAAUUGGUUUAGUGUCUCACAGCUGGGCCAUGCAGACAGCACACUGAAACAUCCAGUUAAAUGAUGCCCAUCCGUCAUCGCUGGCUAUUAGAGCUGGGAACUGGGACCCAAGUGGUCUGUUUUCCAUAUAUUAGUAAACAUUGCAGCUGAGACUUUUCUGUAAGAAUUAAUAAGACAAUGCCA
ensembl:lncRNA